GACGAACCGGACAAACGUUAUUCGGAAUCAUUGGGCUUAAAGGGUGCGUAGGCGGUGCUAAAAGUUGGGUGUGAAAUACCUCGGCUCAACCGAGGAAUUGCGCCCAAAACUAUAGUGCUAGAGGGAGACAGGGGUAAGCGGAACUGAUGGUGGAGCGGUGAAAUGCGUUGAUAUCAUCAGGAACACCAGUGGCGAAGGCGGCUUACUGGGUCUCUUCUGACGCUGAGGCACGAAAGUAAGGGUAGCGAAC
rnacentral:rRNA from 1 species